UCGUAAGCUUAUUAAUUUGACCCAAAUUCUCCAUUUUGGUACACGCCAAAGCGUCGAGAGGGAAACAACCCAGAUCGUACGCGAAGGUCCCUAAGCAAUCACUUAGUGGAAAAGGAAGUGAUCGAGCGAUGACAACCAGGAGGUGGGCUUGGAAGCAGCCAUCCUUUGAAGAAAGCGUAAUAGCUCACUGGUCUAGCUCCAUGGCACCGAGGAUCAACUCUACUUAGUCCUGAUGCUCGUUUUGCUUCUUUAUGUUAAACAUAUUUUGUGACCCUCACGCAGGCGUAAUAAUUUUGUGCUAGGUCUCUACACCAUACUAGAGCAUAAUCUUGUGCCAUAUGAGGACCAUUGCAAUUAUUCUGUUGAUUCUACUAUGAAACUCUGUUGAUUCUACUAUGAAACUCUGCCGUACUAUGGUUACCAUAUUAAGGUGAAUCAAGUUUUAAUCUAUCAAAGAUUGCUCAUUAUAAAGUGUCAAAGGGGGGAGUAAGGCAAGA
rfam:Nicotiana attenuata strain TT chromosome 12, whole genome shotgun sequence.